rnacentral:rRNA from 1 species
ACGUAGGAGGCGAGCGUUGUCCGGAAUUAUUGGGCGUAAAGGGUUCGUAGGAGGUCUACUAAGUUGGAUGUGAAAUCCCCGGGCUCAACUUGGGGACUGCAUUUAAUACUGGCGGACUAGAGUGCAGUAGAGGAAGGCGGAAUUCCUGGUGUAGCGGUUAGAUGCGUAGAUAUGACGAGGAACAACGAUAGCGAAGGCAGCUUUCUGGGUUACAACUCACUCUGAACCACGAAAGCGUGGGUAGCCCACAG